CCAUCUGAUGAGUCAGUCUAUUGAUGGUUAAUCUUCCUGUCAAGCUUUCAUAUCUCAUGAUAAAAUUAUUACAAAUGGACGAGUAUGAAGAUGCCAGUAUCUCCAUAUGAUAUACUACCUUUGUCUAUUGCAUAUUUGAGAAGCCAUAUUAAUAGCUAAGUUGUUGUCUAAGCUUUAGUUGAUAGUUUAUAUCAAAUUUUUUUUUUGGGCCUAAGGGAACUGUUGCAAAAGAGUGGAUAAGCGAAGGGAUUGUAGACAUGGCGCUUACGAGAGUUUUUUUUUUUUUUUCCAUUUCUUUUUUAAUUGGAAAAAAAAAGGUUUGUUUUUUUUCUAUUAAAAUUGACAAAAGAUAGAAUCCAAGUUCUGCUUUGGUCUAUUGAUGACACAAACCUCUGUCUACAUCAUAAGCUAUCAUUCCAUCUAUCAUGUUAAAUAUAUCCAUGCAAAUAAUAUUAUGUUAUUUUUGUUUAUGUGGACAUCAGGUGAGGGAGAAUAAGGAAACAUUGGAUGGGAAUGGUAGAUUAUUGUCACUGGCCCUUUUCUUUCUUUCACUUUUCCUUCUUAAGGUAUAUCUGAUUGAUCAAGAAUUCCUCACUAUUACUGAGUUUGAUUUGUCUAUUAAUCAUGUAGGUUAUCAUUGAUUCUAAAACAGGUUCCACAGAUGAUUUUGCUUGUGAAGUUGAGAUUACUGGAUGUAAGCCACUUCCAGAUGAACAUUUCUAUCUAGAGGUUGAAAGUAAACAAAGAUUUAGCAUAAUCUGAUCUUGGGAUCAAGAUGGCUAUUGUUUUGCAAAGGUUGAAUGGGUGCAGGAUAGCUACCCAGCUGAAGGAACAAGAGAAAGAGAAGAGGCAAGCUAAUUGCUAGUUUGGCUUCCCAUUUGUAUGUGUGCUGUAGACACCCCCUACCUCUCCAGAGAAGAA